GAUGAGCCAAGAUUGGUACCCUUUAAAGGUACUAUUGAUUUUAAACUGAAGAGUUUGAUCAUGGCUCAGAUUGAACGCUGGCGGCAGGCUUAACACAUGCAAGUCGAGCGGGGAAGGGUAGCUUGCUACCCAACCUAGCGGCGGACGGGUGAGUAAUG
rnacentral:rRNA from 1 species